CGUAAGCCUACUUCCGGUUCCUAGGGAUGCACAUCCGGGUCACGCUAACGCCGCGGUUUCCGCCACUCUGUUGGUUCCCGAGUGGGUCCGUAGCGGUCCCAUGUUGUGCUGUGGGGCAUCUGCAGCCUUCGGUGUGUGAAGACUGCAGAGACCUGCAAUCCAGUCACAUAAGUGUGUAAAGAGAUAGUGGUCCUCAUGGAAGAAGAGCAAGACCUACCAGAGCAACCGGUGAAGAAAGCCAAGAUGCAGGAACCAGGAGAACAAACUUUAAGUCAAGUAAACAACCCGGAUGUCAGUGAUCAGAAGCCUGAGACAUCCAGCCUUGCGUCAAAUCUUAGCAUGUCAGAGGAAAUUAUGACAUGCACCGAUUACAUCCCUCGCUCAUCCAAUGAUUAUACCUCACAAAUGUAUUCUGCAAAACCUUAUGCACAUAUCCUCUCAGUUCCUGUUUCGGAAACCGCUUACCCUGGGCAGAGUCAGUACCAGACACUGCAGCAGUCUCAACCCUACGCUGUCUAUCCUCAGGCAACCCAAACGUACGGACUACCUCCUUUUGGUGCACUGUGGCCAGGUAUGAAACCUGAAAGUGGUUUAAUUCAGACUCCAUCUCCAAGUCAACACAGUGUUCUUACCUGCACUACAGGGUUAACCACAAGCCAGCCAAGCCCAGCACAUUAUUCUUACCCCAUUCAAGCUUCAAGCACAAAUGCCAGCCUGAUAUCCUCGUCAUCCGCAAUUGCCAAUAUCCCAGCAGCAGCUGUGGCCAGCAUCUCAAACCAGGACUAUCCCACCUAUACUAUUCUUGGACAGAAUCAGUACCAGUCCUGCUACCCCAGCUCCAGCUUUGGAGUCACAGGCCAGACUAACAGUGAUGCUGAGAAUACUGCAUUAGCAGCUACCACAUACCAGACGGAGAAGCCUAGUGCUAUGGUACCCGCACCAGCCACACAGAGACUUCCCUCUGACUCAUCUACAAGCCCAUCUUUGUCCCAGACUACACCAAAUAAAGAUGCCGAUGAUCAGUCCAGGAAGAAUAUGACUGUCAAGAACCGGGGCAAGAGGAAAGCUGAUGCCGGUUCCUCCCAGGACAGCGAGUUAGAACGGGUAUUUCUCUGGGACUUAGAUGAAACCAUCAUCAUAUUUCAUUCCCUUCUUACUGGAUCCUAUGCUCAGAAGUAUGGAAAGGACCCAACAGUAGUAAUUGGCUCAGGGUUAACAAUGGAAGAAAUGAUUUUUGAAGUGGCUGAUACACAUCUGUUUUUCAAUGACUUGGAGGAGUGUGACCAGGUGCAUGUGGAAGAUGUGGCUUCUGAUGACAAUGGCCAGGAUUUGAGCAACUAUAGUUUCUCAACAGAUGGUUUCAGUGGCUCAGGAGGCAGUGGUGGCCAUGGUUCAUCGGUGGGCGUUCAGGGAGGUGUGGACUGGAUGAGGAAGCUGGCCUUCCGCUAUCGAAAAGUGAGAGAAAUCUAUGACAAGCAUAAAAGCAAUGUGGGUGGCCUCCUCAGCCCCCAGAGGAAAGAAGCCCUGCAGAGACUGCGAGCUGAGAUCGAGGUGCUCACGGACUCCUGGUUAGGAACUGCGCUCAAGUCCCUGCUCCUCAUCCAGUCUCGAAAGAAUUGUGUGAAUGUUCUGAUCACUACCACACAGCUGGUUCCGGCCCUGGCCAAAGUUCUCCUAUAUGGACUAGGAGAAAUAUUUCCUAUUGAGAACAUCUACAGUGCUACCAAAAUCGGUAAGGAGAGCUGCUUUGAGAGAAUUGUGUCAAGGUUUGGAAAGAAAGUCACAUAUGUAGUGAUUGGAGAUGGACGAGAUGAAGAAAUUGCAGCCAAGCAGCACAACAUGCCCUUCUGGAGGAUCACAAACCAUGGAGACCUGGUGUCCCUGCACCAGGCUUUAGAGCUUGACUUCCUCUAAGAACUGGAACGUGGAGCUUUCCUUCCUUGUGAGCUUCUUUUUACCUCCGACAGGAGUCAGAGGCCAGAACCCUCUGAGACCCUUCUCUCCUGUCUGUCUGUCUGUCUGUCUGUCUCUCUGUGUCUCAGCGCCCCCUCCCCUUCUCCUGUGCUCUUUCUCUCUCUCCGUGGAAUGCUGGCGAGAACACAAUCAGUUUUUGCUAAGAGUGAGCGAAACCCCGUCCAUAGUACAGCAGGAGGCGGCUGGAAAGAACAGCAGACUUCCCCCGCUACCGUGCUACAAUUCUUCGUUUCAAAAAGGAAGAACGAGAAGAGGCAGUGCGUGGGGCACAGUUGCACUCUUGGUGCAUGGACAGACCGGGAGCUGCUCCUGAUCAUGCUGACGGAAAAUGCGUUUGUCCCAUGAGAACAUCUCCUGUAAUCUUAGCUGUAGAACUCUCUCCCAGUGAAUGGCUCUUUACAACAGGAAUUUGGACUUGGCCAAGAGAGGCAAGGAGAUAUUCUGAGCUGAAGCGCCUCUGCUCUGGCAGCAGCCACCCUGUCAGAGGGCAGACAGGAAGCAAGAGUGUGUUGGUGUGUCCACCAAAAGGAGCAUCCAGGGACUGCUGCCCUUUGUCCCCCAAAGGCCUGGGAAGGAAAAUGAGCUGGCAGCAGUGGAACAGUUAGUACGGGAAAGAUGGCUCCUUGGUUCCUAGCAUCGGCUGCUGAUGCAGAGUUCCAGGGUGUGAGCACCUGCAGGGCUGCUCACAGCCAUCUGUAACUACGGUUCCAGAGGAUCUGAUCCCCUCUUCCGGCCUCUUCAGGCACCAAGCACUUAUAUACACGCAAGAAAAAACUCAUAACACAUAAAAUAAAAUGUCUUUAAAAAAGUAAAAGCUGUUGGAAUUGGACCUGAAAGAAACUGGGUCCUUUCAUCAAAAAGAGGCAGUCUUUACUGGAAAGAGCACCCUGAAGUGAUUAGCUGGUAAAUCCUUCCCCUGAUGGAUCCAGUGUUUUCAAGGGUUAGUCUGGACAUCUCAUGGUGUGGGCUAAUUCUAGGAGUGUCUGUGGAGUUGCAGGAAUGUUCCGGGAUAAGAGGUGACUUUCGAAUGUAAAACUGACUGUGCCUUAGCAUCACCAUGUCCGGUGCCCUUGGGGCAGCUGGUGAUGUCCAGGAGAGUGGAUACCUGCUCCAGAACUUAGGUGCCUGUUUGGGCUGUUGAUUUGGGGGUGGUCUGCCUUCUCUACAAGUUGGGUGUCAGAGCUAGCUAGUAUCCCAAGAGACUUGGCACAGCUUGUCUGCGGUUCACACAAACUCAACCCUUACAGCUCCAAGUAGACUCUAACUGGCAUACUGCAGCUUGCAAGCAUGUGGCACUUCUAGACACUACUUUGAAUGGGAGUCACACAUUGACAAGAGCACCAGGCAAAGCAUGGUGCUGUCCUCCUGGAGAGUACAGGCUAGCCCCUCAGAGGCAAGCUUGGGCUCUCCUUCCUUACUCCUCCCCAGGGUGCAGCUGAGACCCUUCUUGAGUAAGCUUAUGUUCCUUGCUGCUAACCUGGUCUCCAUCUUAAAGAAGCUACAACUAUCCAGACAGAUUCAUUGUAGAUGCCAAGUUGGAAUUCUGAGCUCAGAUACCUUAACCACAAGAGGCAAAAAUCUGCUUGUGUCCCAGUCCGCAGGCCACCCGUCCUCCCUCUCCCCUGAGUCGGCUCUAGCAGGCAAGGCUCCCUGGAUGCCUCCUAGCACACUGAGCGGAGCUAUCCACUAAGGACCAUUUCUACUUGGAUCACCACUCUCCCUCUGGACUUCAGAUGCCUCUUUAGCAGGAAAAGGCAUCAGUUGGGUUGGAUGUAUUUAUGUGACUGCGGGCAUUUGUGGCUAUAGAGUCCUUGACCAUAAUGUUAUAUGUAAUGGGAACUAUCUUAUAAACUUGAAAAAAAUAAAAUUUUUAUUUUCUAUA